rnacentral:rRNA from 1 species
AUUGAACGCUGGCGGCAUGCCUUACACAUGCAAGUCGAACGGCAGCACGGGAGCAAUCCUGGUGGCGAGUGGCGAACGGGUGAGUAAUAUAUCGGAACGUGCCCAGUCGUGGGGAUAACGUAGCGAAAGCUACGCUAAUACCGCAUACGAUCUAUGGAUGAAAGCGGGGGAUCGCAAGACCUCGCGCGAUUGGAGCGGCCGAUGGCAGAUUAGGUAGUUGGUGGGAUAAAAGCUUACCAAGCCGACGAUCUGUAGCUGGUCUGAGAGGACGACCAGCCACACUGGGACUGAGACACGGCCCAGACUCCCUACGGGAGGCAGCAGU